ensembl:rRNA 5S_rRNA 5S ribosomal RNA
GCUUACGGCCAUACCAGCCCAAGAACGCAUGGUCUCGUCUGAUCUCGGAAGCUAAGAAGGCUUGUGCCUGGUUAGUACUUGGAUGGGAGACCUCCUGGGAAUACCAGGUGCUGUAAGCU